CAGCACCUCAAGUGGUCAGGAUGAUUAUUGGGCCUAAAGCAUCCGUAGCCGGUUCUACAAGUCUUCCGUUAAAUCCACCUGCUUAACAGAUGGGCCGCGGAGGAUACUAUAAGACUAGGAGGCAGGAGAGGCAAGCGGUACUCAGUGGGUAGGGGUAAAAUCCGUUGAUCCAUUGAAGAACACCAGUGGCGAAGGCGGCUUGCCAGAAUGCGCUCGACGGUGAGGGAUGAAAGCUGGGGGAGCAAACCGGAUUAGAUACCCGAGUAGUCC
rnacentral:rRNA from 1 species